GUUCUCUUUAGUCUACACGGCAAGAAAAUACAGUUUGUCUUCUGCAGCAUAAUACAGUAGGUUUCUCAUCCUCUACCGAUGGUGAAAAAAACAGCAAGAAAUGUUAAAUGAAACAACCCAGAAACACUUAUUGCCUUGUCGUGGAAGUACUCUAAGGUCCAGCUGUAUUUAUCUCCGACAAUAUCCAAUCAUGAAUUUGGACAUACUGAUGUGGGGAGCCUGUAAAAUGACAAGACAAGAAGAUUAGCACAUGAAUCCUCAGUGUGAUGAGCAGAAGGAGAGUUUGGGAAGGAUCCUCUGGAGGAAGAGGAAACAACCAGAAAGCAGGAAAGAUUCUAGUUUUAGAAAUCUGUAAUAUCCU
rnacentral:lncRNA from 1 species